UACGAAGGGUGCAAGCGUUAUUCGGAAUUAUUGGGCGUAAAGGGCGCGUAGGCGGCCUGACAAGUGGAAGGUGAAAUCCCUCGGCUCAACUGAGGAACUGCCCUCCAAACUGUUUGGCUUGAGACCGGGAGAGGUGAGUGGAAUUCCCAGUGUAGCGGUGAAAUGCGUAGAUAUUGGGAGGAACACCAGUGGCGAAGGCGGCUCACUGGACCGGAACUGACGCUGAGGCGCGAAAGCGUGGGGAGCAAACGGG
rnacentral:rRNA from 1 species